UCUCUAGCAAAUGGUGAGCACAUGCUCUGGCGUAAAGAUUUCACAGAAACCACUUAUUUAUAUCAGAAACUUAAAUUUUAGCUGCCGUAGAACGUUCACUCUGAGGUGCCUUAGAGUUUGUUGAACUUUCAUCUGAAGAAUAACUGCAAGGAAACAGAAA
rnacentral:lncRNA from 1 species